UCUUCUCCAUUUCAAAGACACUGCAUAUCCUUAGAAACCCUUCAUUACAGAGGGUUAGUGUUAAAAACCUCAGUGGUAGGGUAUAUAUUAUAUAAGUUAAAAAAUAAAAAAGAAGAAGCCCUCUAAGGCUCAAGCAGAAAUAUUCUACAGAGGGGAAUUUUUUAGGCAGAAAGAAACAGCUAGGUAAGCAACCCAUAACUUUCUCCCCCAUUGCUUUUUCUCACUUCAGGAGGCCCAGUAUGGUGGUGAGAAGAACCAGAAGGCACUCAAAAUUUAGGCCAGAAGGAUACGGGUAUGAGGAGAAAGAGAUAAUCCUUCCCACCUGCAUGCUUCCUCUUAGGACUUUAGGUCUGCCUACAUGUUGAAGAAGUUUGAGUUUUAGGCUUUGGGAGCAUUUCCUUAAAAACCAUUGUCAUGGGGGAGGAAAAAAAAAAGGGUAGUGUUAAUUCUGUCCUCACACACUCAGAGAUCAUUUGGUUGGGCUACAUUUUAUGAGCUAUAUUCCAUAAAGAUGCUGCAAAGUUCAGGUAUCUGGUUUAGGAAAGAAAAAAAAAUCCCUUCUUUAACCCAAGAAAUGUAAUGCAAACAACUUGGGCCUGUGUCACUUAGUCUUCUAAGAAGACUUCAAGGCUGUUAUAAAGACCCAGUGGUGGGAGAAACCUGAUCCGGUAUAGCGGGGCCAGAAGAAGCUGCAGGACCAUGCCGCGGGGACAAGGCAAGGAAAUUUGAACAAUAACAGCUGCUUUCAGAAAUAAACCGCGACUUUGUGCAGCGUUUAUUACCUGACGAGCUGAAAUGCAUUGUUAAUGAGACUCGCCCGAUCAUUACUGCUGACUGCUGUGUGUGUUCCUUUUAAAAGGCCAGUCAAAGAGUCCCAUCCAUCAUCCUCGUAAUGCACAAUGUAAUAGCCAUUCAUGCCCAGAUUAAAUUUGAUCCAUUCCACCUCUUCUGGGAGGAUGAGCACAUCUAGAGUAAAUAAAAUAAAUCAAAGCUC
rnacentral:antisense_RNA from 1 species